GUCUACGGCCACGCUACCCCGAACAAGCCCGAAUCCAUCUGAUCUCAGAAGCUAAGCAGGGUCGGGCCUAGUUAGUACUUGGAUAGGAGACCACCUAGGAAGACCAGGUGCUGUAGGUG
rnacentral:rRNA from 1 species